GAUGAACGCUGGCGGCGUGCCUAAUACAUGCAAGUCGAGCGAACAGACGAGGAGCUUGCUCCUCUGACGUUAGCGGCGGACGGGUGAGUAACACGUGGAUAACCUAUCUAUAAGACUGGGAUAACUUCGGGAAACCGGAGCUAAUACCGGAUAAUAUAUUGAACCGCAUGGUUCAAUAGUGAAAGACGGUUUUGCUGUCACUUAUAGAUGGAUCCGCGCCGCAUUAGCUAGUUGGUAAGGUAACGGCUUACCAAGGCAAUGAUGCGUAGCCGACCUGAGAGGGUGAUCGGCCACACUGGAACUGAGACACGGUCCAGACUCCUACGGGAGGCAGCAGUAGGGAAUCUUCCGCAAUGGGCGAAAGCCUGACGGAGCAACGCCGCGUGAGUGAUGAAGGUCUUCGGAUCGUAAAACUCUGUUAUUAGGGAAGAACAAAUGUGUAAGUAACUAUGCACGUCUUGACGGUACCUAAUCAGAAAGCCACGGCUAACUACGUG
rnacentral:rRNA from 1 species